UGAGUACAGUCUGUGCGUGUAUGUGUGUGUGUGUGUGUGUGUGUGUGUGUGUGUGCUUUUCAUUAGCCUAAUAGGCAGUCAAAUUGGUAUUACUACAGCCCAAUAAGAUACUUGAUAUCCCCUCCUCUGUUUCAAUUACUGAAACCACAGUGAAGAGAAAUAUAAUGGAAAGCAAAAUUAUUGUCAUUGUUGAUGAGGUUUCCUCUCUCAUCUGGUCUGUGUGUGGUGUCAGUGUGUGUCUGAUUGAGGUUGAAGGGGGACGUGCUGUAUGUGUGUGUGUGUGUGUGCAUCCGUGUGUGUGCGCAACUACAAGUAUGUGUGUGUGUGUGUGUGUGUGUAUGCGCUCGUGUGUCACCAUCAUGAUCUAUCUGUGCUCGCUCUUAAAGGACAAACACAUCAAUCACAACAGCGGCCAUUUUGUUCUGAAUAAGAAAAGGGGUCAGUAGGCUAGCUCAGGCUAACUCAGGAAUCUCCAUGUAUUUACAUAGUGCUGGUACUGUACAACCAAUAUUAUCUUGAGAAACCCAUUCAUUUAUUUAUUUUCAACCAGCAACUAACUCUUUUACUCUCAAACAGACAGAUCCCACUCAUUCCAAAACCAUUUCCCAUGUCUCAUUUUCUCAGAUCACAUUGUCUCCUUCCCUCUCCUCUCUCUGUCACUCUGUCCUCUCCCUCUUUAGCGCAGCAAUCAGACUCUCGUAAGGGAAGGAGACAUUUUCAUGACAAUGUGAUCUGUAAAGCUCAAAGAGGGUAAUAGUGGUAGAGCAUUGAUGUGUGUGUCUGUGAACAUCUCUUCCUCCACAUGAGAAAUGGUUGUGGAAUGAGUGGGAUCUGUCUGUUUGAGAGACGUUGAUGUAGAGAAUUCAUAUAGUCCUUUGAGUAUUUCCCCCUCCACUCACCCCGAACAUUUCACAUGUCAACCUGUGUGUUUCUGUGUGUUGUCACCUGUCAUAAACACAUUACACGCACAUCGUGUUUAUGACCAUAUAAGGACCAUAUUCAGUCACAUAAAGUACUGUACAUGAAUAGUGCAAGGAGUUAAUGAGUACAGUCUAUGUGUGUGUGUGUGUGUGUGUGUGUGUGUGUGUGUGUGUGUGUGCUUUUCAUUAGCCUAAUAGGCAGUCAAAUUGGUAUUACUACAGCCCAAUAAGAUACUUGAUAUCCCCUCCUCUGUUUCAAUUACUGAAACCACAGUGAAGAGAAAUAUAAUGGAAAGCAAAUUAUUGUCAUUGUUGAUGAGGUUUCCUCUCUCAUCUGGUCUGUGUGUGGUGUCAGUGUGUGUCUGAUUGAGGUUGAAGGGGGACGUGCUGUAUGUGUGUGUGUGUGUGUGUGCAUCCGUGUGUGUGCGCAACUACAAGUAUGUGUGUGUGUGUGUGUGUGUGUGUGUAUGUGCUCGUGUGUCACCAUCAAAUGUACAUUUGUUGAUUGCUAGGCAUACAAAUCAGAUGAUUUAUUGGUACAUUUGAAAUUAGGUGUAGUUGUGUCCGCAACCGGACUAGAUUGUGAAUGACUCUUGGUGGAAUGCAUUGCUUGACUGCCGUGAGGGUGAUCAGCACAAUAUCAUUUGCGAACUGCUGCCACCCAAACAAUUCUCGAGAUUGAGUUUGUUGAGCAGAGACUGUGUGUGUUUUUGGUUCGACAAAGCAGUGUCAUAACAUUCAAUAAUCAUUGAAUUGCAGUCAGUGUUGCACCAUGCGAUCAUUUAUCAGUUAUGAUGUCUUUGUAUUCUCUACACUGCCUGGAGCAUGAUCUGUUGAGCCUGAGCUCAUAUAUGACAGACAGGUGUGGUGAGAUCAUAUAUGACAGACAGCUGUGGUGAGAUCAUAUAUGACAGACAGCUGUGGUGAGAUCAUAUAUGACAGACAGCUGUGGUGAGAUCAUAUAUGACAGACAGGUGUGGUGAGAUCAUAUAUGACAGACAGGUGUGGUGAGAUCAUAUAUGACAGACAGCUGUGGUGAGAUCAUAUAUGACAGACAGCUGUGGUGAGAUCAUAUAUGACAGACAGGUGUGGUGAGAUCAUAUAUGACAGACAGCUGUGGUGAGAUCAUAUAUGACAGACAGGUGUGGUGAGAUCAUAUAUGACAGACAGGUGUACUGUCAUCUCCAAGAACUUGAGUGGACAAUGUGUUGACUUGGUCAGUCCUCUGGCAUAGGGGCUGGACACAUCAAUAUUCCCUCUUCUACCCUGCUCUGAUGCCCGCAUGCUCAGCAGCAUUAGAUAAUGCAGUAUAGUGGUUGUUCUGGUUUCUACAGUAACACAGGUGUUAAAGGAGAUGUGAGUGAAAUAACAUAUUAUUCUUCUCCCCUCAACCCUUCACUCCUCCUCCCCAUCCUCUAUCCUUCUCCUCUACCCAUGUACUCCUCUGUUUCUAUCACUCCUCCUCCCCAUCCUCUCUCCUUCUCCUCUACCCAUGUACUCCUCUGUUUCUAUCACUCCUCCUCUUUCCAUUCUCUUAAUGAUCUUCCUGAAUCCAUCUGAAUGUGUUUUUCUAAGAUAAGUCAAUGGCACAUCCACAAUUGGAUAACUAUUUAUUUUUGUAUGGAAGAGAAAUCAGAGGAACGAGUCUAUAGAGGGAGAGAGAGACAGAGAGAAAGAUUCCGGCCCAGUCAUGUUGGAUUGCAAAUUCGAAUCAAGCUGCUCAGAAGCAAUUUCAAUUAAUCUGUGUGUGCAUUGGAGCCACAUGCUUUGUCUUGUAGCCAAUCCCACUUGGCUUAUCAGACACAAUUUGUGGUGGAUGUCCACACACACACACUCCACUGUUAUGGCCUGGCAGCCAAGAUGGCACUUCAUCCAACACUACUAAAUGUUAUUCACUUUUAUUGAGAUUGACAUUUUAGCUGUCCAGGUUGUUGAAGUAGAGUUUCCUAUAAGGACUGUACCACAUUAUUCCAUUUCCAUCUUAUUGUCACCAUUAUCAUUACUUACACUCUGAAGGACUGUACCACUUCAUAGAGAGAGAGAGAGAGAGAGAGAGAGAGAGAGAGAGAGAGAGAGAGAGAGAGAGAGAGAGAGAGAGAGAGAGAGAGAGAGAGAGAGAGAGAGAGAGAGAGAGAGAGAGAGAGAGAGAGAGAGAGAGAGAGAGAGAGAGAGAGAGAGAGAGAGAUUUGUAUACACAAUAUAACCAUUCUCCAUGUUCCGUACUGUAUGUAUUCCUGGUCCAGUGCUGCUGUGUUUAGGGAAUGAUGACAUAUUGAAGGGUUUAUUUGCAUAAAGAUCUACUGUAUAAGGCUAGGUACACGAUCCAUGUGUCUGGUCCUGACUGUGCUGCUUUGGGAGAUACGGGAGAAACGUAUCUAUAGGUUGUGUAUUAAGGCUUAUUGAAAGGGCUCCAUAAUGACUUCAUAUGCAUAACACCUUUUUCAACCAAUCACCUCUAUCUAACAACAUCAACAAACCUCAUGAUCAACCUCAGGCAUUAUUACUAUGUGUGGUAUGAGGUAUUUGUGCUCGCUGUUCAAAUCUGUUUCUAUUUUCUCUUCUUGUUUGUCUUCCCACUUCCUCAACCAAUCAAUCGAAUGUAUUUAUAAAGCCCUUUCUACAUCAGCUGAUAUCUCAAAGUGCUGUACAGAAACCCUGCCCUAAAACCCCAAACAGCAAGAUGCAGAUGUAGAAGUACGGUGGCUAGGAAGAACUCCCUAGAAAGGCACAACGCAUGUUGAGCCCUAAAUGUUGACUCCUCCCCCAGCUAAACAGUGACACAGCCUACUGUAUCUGAUUUAAUAUCACUUUGUACAAUUGAACAGUAAACGCAACCUCCGGAUUUUUCAUCGCUUCCUUUCCGUUCACCAAACUGAAACUGUGCAGUAAUGAAGAAAUAUAAAGAUUGAAUGAUGAACAUGUGUAAAAUGUAUUGUAAAUAUCAAGCCAGAUGGCAAUAUAAACCAUGGUAAUCUCCCACGGGAAUAGAACAAAAGAGAUGUUAGAGAGAAGAGAAAGGAAACUCUAGAAUGUUAAACCCAUGUUGUCCUUCACCAACCCUUCCUUGGUAGCUUUGCUGCAGUACCUGACUCCGUUGUAAAAUGUAUUGUUUGAAAAUAAAAA
ensembl:lncRNA